rnacentral:rRNA from 1 species
ACGAGAGAUGAAGAGCUUGCUCUUCAAUCGAGUGGCGAACGGGUGCGUUACGCGUGGGUAACCUGCCUCACACUGGGGGAUAACAGUUAGAAAUAGCUGCUAAUACCGCAUAAGCGCACGGUUCCGCAUGGAACAGUGUGAAAAACUCCGGUGGUGUGAGAUGGACCCGCGUCUGAUUAGCCAGUUGGCGGGGUAACGGCCCACCAAAGCGACGAUCAGUAGCCGGCCUGAGAGGGUGAACGGCCACAUUGGGACUGAGACACGGCCCAAACUCCUACGGGAGGCAGCAGUGGGGAAUAUUGCACAAUGGGGGAAACCCUGAUGCAGCGACGCCGCGUGAGUGAAGAAGUAUUUCGGUAUGUAAAGCUCUAUCAGCAGGGAAGAAAGUGACGGUACCUGAAUAAGAAGCCCCGGCUAACUACGUGCCAGCAGCCGCGGUAAUACGUAGGGGGCAAGCGUUAUCCGGAUUUACUGGGUGUAAAGGGAGCGUAGACGGCAAGGCAAGUCUGAAGUGAAAGCCCGGUGCUUAACGCCGGGACUGCUUUGGAAACUGUUUAGCUGGAGUGCCGGAGAGGUAAGCGGAAUUCCUAGUGUAGCGGUGAAAUGCGUAGAUAUUAGGAAGAACACCAGUGGCGAAGGCGGCUUACUGGACGGUAACUGACGUUGAGGCUCGAAAGCGUGGGGAGCAAACAGGAUUAGAUACCCUGGUAGUCCACGCCGUAAACGA